rnacentral:piRNA from 1 species
UUACUGAGUGCUUACUAUGUGCCAGGA